rnacentral:rRNA from 1 species
ACGAACGCCGGCGGCGUGCUUAACACAUGCAAGUCGAACGGAAAGGCCCUGCUAUUGUGGGGUGCUCGAGUGGCGAACGGGUGAGUAACACGUGAGUAACCUGCCCUUGACUUUGGGAUAACUUCAGGAAACUGGGGCUAAUACCGGAUAGGAGCUCCUGCUGCAUGGUGGGGGUUGGAAAGUUUCGGCGGUUGGGGAUGGACUCGGGGCUUAUCAGCUUGUUGGUGGGGUAGUGGCUUACCAAGGCUUUGACGGGUAGCCGGCCUGAGAGGGUGACCGGCCACAUUGGGACUGAGAUACGGCCCAGACUCCUACGGGAGGCAGCAGUGGGGAAUAUUGCACAAUGGGCGGAAGCCUGAUGCAGCAACGCCGCGUGCGGGAUGACGGCCUUCGGGUUGUAAACCGCUUUCGCCUGUGACGAAGCGUGAGUGACGGUAAUGGGUAAAGAAGCACCGGCUAACUACGUG